CAAUAGCGUAUAUUAAAGUUGUUGCAGUUAAAAAGCUCGUAGUUGAACUUCUGGUAGGAGUGUCCCGGUGUUUGGGCGAAUGCCCUCUCUUACUGUGUGACAUCUCUGGCCAUCCUCGCUAUCUUUUAGGUAGCGUCUUUCACUGUAAAAAAUUAGGGUGUUUCAAGCAAAGUUUACUUUGGAAUAUAUUAGUAUGGGAUGAUAAGAUAGGCUCUCGAUGCUAUUUUGUUGGUUUGCACAUCAAGAGAAUGAUUAACAGGGACAGUUGGGGGUAGUUCAUAUUUACUAUGUCAGAGGUGAAAUUCUUGGAUUUUGGAAAGAUGACUACUGCGAAAGCAUUUACCAAGGAUGUUUUCAUUAAUCAAGAACGAAAGUUAGGGGAUCGAAGACGAUUAGAUACCAU
rnacentral:rRNA from 1 species